CAUUAGCGUAGCAGCAGGAAGAACAUCUGCGAGUGAGACUUUGAGGGAGGACGGGUGAGUGCGGAGGACUGACCAGGAGGUCCGUACAGCAGCAGGCCCUUCCAGGGAGACAGGAUACCAGUAAACAGCUGGGGAUACUGGGAGGGGAAAAAAAAAAUCACACCUACCAUUACAGAACGUUGGCAUCAGCAGAUAGAAGCAACCUAACUGUUAAGCUUUCAGUCUUGAUUUCCCUCAGUAUCCCAGACUCACACCUAGAGUCACAUUAUUGCCAAAAUCUAAACAAAUAAUAUUCUCCACCAUGUCCCAAAGGUAGUGGAGGGAGACAGCAAUAUCUGGCCUGCUCUGCUGGUUCAAAACAAGCUUAAACGAAUCCUCCGUUUUCUGUGUCAGCUUCCAGAAGCAGAUUUAUCGUCAUCAACGUACGAACAAAAGAUGAAAGGAGGACGCUGCUGUGGACUCACGCUGGCAGAUUUACCGCCAUCCUUCACCGACACCUUGGAGUCUGUCUUCUUAGUCCUUGAGGGGGCACCAUGCAGCGAGUUUAGCCUGGGCAGGAUCUGGGAUGCUGAACCCGGGGUUCUGGACGGAGAGAAAAGCAGCAGUCAAUCAUACAUGUUUCAAACCAUGGAUGAAUGCUGGACUUGCUAUGUGAAGACGAGGUUGAGAAGGAGGUCUCAAAACACCCCAGAUUCGGUCAGGAAUGUGUUGGCCUCCAGGAGCAAUGCCUUCACAUAG